CUACGGGGGGCAGCAGUGAGGAAUAUUGCACAAUGGGGGGAACCCUGAUGCAGCAACGCCGCGUGGAGGAUGACGCAUUUCGGUGUGUAAACUCCUUUUAUAUGUCAAGAAAAUGACGGUAGCAUAUGAAUAAGCACCGGCUAACUCCGUGCCAGCAGCCGCGAGUAAUACGGAGGGUGCAAGCGUUACUCGGAAUCACUGGGCGUAAAGGACGCGUAGGCGGGUUGGAAAGUCAGGUGUGAAAUCCUACAGCUUAACUGUAGAACUGCACUUGAAACUACGAGCCUAGAGUAUGGGAGGGGGAGAUGGAAUUAGUGGUGUAGGGGUAAAAUCCGUAGAUAUCACUAGGAAUACCUAAAGCGAAGGCGAUCUCCUGGAACAUAACUGACGCUAAGGCGUGAAAGCGUGGGGAGCAAACAGGAUUAGAUACCCGGGUAGUC
rnacentral:rRNA from 1 species